CUUCAGGAACACCACCGUCAUCUCCAGGACGUCGGCCUUCUCCAGCUUGGCGUUGGGAUCCUGCUUGUGGAACUCCUUCUCCAGCAGGACUUUGAGCUGCUCGAUGCAGCUGUUGAUGCGAUCUCGCCUCAUCUUCUCCACGACCGGCUUCCUCAGCUGGAGAACAAAGUAAGAAAGAGAAAAAGAAGAAGAAGAAGGG